rnacentral:rRNA from 1 species
GAUGAACGCUGGCGGCGUGCCUAACACAUGCAAGUCGAGCGAUUCUCUUCGGAGAAGAGCGGCGGACGGGCGAGUAACGCGUGGGUAACCUGCCCUGUACACACGGAUAACAUACCGAAAGGUAUGCUAAUACGAGAUAAUAUACUUUUAUCGCAUGGUAGAAGUAUCAAAGCUCCGGCGGUACAGGAUGGACCCGCGUCUGAUUAGCUAGUUGGUAAGGUAACGGCUUACCAAGGCGACGAUCAGUAGCCGACCUGAGAGGGUGAUCGGCCACAUUGGAACUGAGACACGGUCCAAACUCCUACGGGAGGCAGCAGUGGGGAAUAUUGCGCAAUGGGCGAAAGCCUGAUGCAGCAACGCCGCGUGAGCGAUGAAGGCCUUCGGGUCGUAAAGCUCUGUCCUCAAGGAAGAUAAUGACGGUACUUGAGGAGGAAGCCCCGGCUAACUACGUGCCAGCAGCCG